CCCUUAGAUGUUCUGGGCCGCACGCGUGCCACACUGAGUGGAUCAGCGGGUCAGGUUGCGCGAAAGUGUUUCCUAAUCUUGAAAUCCGCUCGUGAUGGGGAUUGACGGUUGCAAUUUUCCGUCAUGAACGAGGAAUACCUUGUAAGCGCGGGUCAUCAUCCCGCGCUGAAUACGUCCCUGCCCUUUGUACACACCGCCCGUCGCUCCUACCGAUUGAGUGGUCCGGUGAGGCUUUGGGAUCUGAGCAAAGAGAGCGUUUCGCUCGUUUUGCCCGGAAAACUCAGUCGAACCUUAUCAUUUAGAGGAAGGAGAAGUCGUAACA
rnacentral:rRNA from 1 species